rnacentral:misc_RNA from 1 species
GUUGCCAGAAAACAAUCAUUGGAAAUCGCAGAAAGAAAAACAAAGAGAAACAGAAGUACGAAAGCAAAAAAUGAAAAGAGUAGAAGCACCGGAGCAUUUAUAGUACAAUGAUCGAAGAAAUAAAAGCACAUAUUCAAAAAUCAAACCGCCAAAACACCCUUUCAAGUUUUUUAGGAAAAAGUUAACAAUACAACGCAUUAUCGAGGCAACGCAGUG